UGCAAGUCGAGCGGUAAGGCCCUUCGGGGUACACGAGCGGCGAACGGGUGAGUAACACGUGGGUGAUCUGCCUCGUACUCUGGGAUAAGCCUGGGAAACUGGGUCUAAUACCGGAUAUGACCACGAAUCGCAUGGUUUGUGGUGGAAAGAUUUAUCGGUGCGAGAUGGGCCCGCGGCCUAUCAGCUUGUUGGUGGGGUAAUGGCCUACCAAGGCGACGACGGGUAGCCGGCCUGAGAGGGCGACCGGCCACACUGGGACUGAGACACGGCCCAGACUCCUACGGGAGGCAGCAGUGGGGAAUAUUGCACAAUGGGCGGAAGCCUGAUGCAGCGACGCCGCGUGCGGGAUGACGGCCUUCGGGUUGUAAACCGCUUUCGACAGGGACGAAGCGUGAGUGACGGUACCUGUAGAAGAAGCACCGGCCAACUACGUGCCAGCAGCCGCGGUAAUACGUAGGGUGCGAGCGUUGUCCGGAAUUACUGGGCGUAAAGAGCUUGUAGGCGGUUUGUCGCGUCGUUCGUGAAAACUUGGGGCUCAACCCCAAGCUUGCGGGCGAUACGGGCAGACUAGAGUACUGCAGGGGAGACUGGAAUUCCUGGUGUAGCGGUGAAAUGCGCAGAUAUCAGGAGGAACACCGGUGGCGAAGGCGGGUCUCUGGGCAGUAACUGACGCUGAGAAGCGA
rnacentral:rRNA from 1 species